CGCGGAGGGAGGGAGGGAGGGGAGAGAAAGGGUUUCCUUUCACGGAGGUUGGGCCGCGCGGUUUAAGGCCGAGAGCCCCUUAAUUCGUGAGCAUAUGGCCGACCGCUGGCACGCGUCGCAUAAUUUCGUUCCAAUGGUCGGCGUGUUUGGAAAGGCUGGGCGGAAAUAGCCCCGGCUUCAAUGAGAGUCGGAAGUGUGUACAAUGAACGCGGCGCACGGCUAAGGGGGAUUCGAUGAUUGGCCGACCAACGUUGUCGCAACGUUGUCAACACGCCAUCUCCUCCCUUCCCCCCUCUUGCUUCUCUUUUAAAAAAAGAAAACUCUUUUCGCGCCUCGAUUCGAAACGAUCGGGCGCAUCACAGCGGUCAAUUGUGCACGGUUGCCAUUUCCAAAUGAUGUAUGAUCGAGAGGGCGCAAUUAACACGAGAUCGAAGUUCUGAAAUAUUGAUCAAACUACAAGGAAAAUUGAAAGGUCGACAUUACUUUAAUUCGUGUAAGUAGUUAUUGAAUUUUAAUUAUGGAAAACUUGCGAAAGGAAAUGAUAGAAAAAAUAAUAAUUAUGUGCUUGGAACAAAACGUAAGCACAACUGAGGAUUUUGUUUCUUUUUUGAUUACUUUAUUUCUUUUAAAUCCUAUAUAUAAAAUGG